UUCGCAAUGCCCGAAAGGGUGACGCAGCGACGCCGCGUGGAGGAUGAAGGCCCUCUGGGUCGUAAACUCCUGUUGAGAGGGAAGAAUGGAGCGCUAUAGGCGCUCGUGACGGUACCUCUAGAGAAAGCACCGGCUAACUACGUGCCAGCAGCCGCGGUAAUACGUAGGUGGCAAGCGUUGUUCGGAUUCACUGGGCAUAAAGGGCACGUAGGCGGAGAGGUAAGUCGUUGGUGAAAUCCCACGGCUCAACCGUGGAAUUGCUUGCGAUACUGCCUUUCUAGAGUGCAGGAGGGGAGAGUGGAACUCUUGGUGGAGCGGUGAAAUGCGUUGAUAUCAAGGGGAACGCCGGCGGUGAAGACGACUCUCUGGCCUGUUACUGACGCUGAGGUGCGAAAGCCAGGGGAGCAAACGGGAUUAGAUACCCCGGUAGUCCUGGCCGUAAACGAUGGGCACUAAGUAGAGGGGUUUUA
rnacentral:rRNA from 1 species